rnacentral:lncRNA from 1 species
UUAAGAUUUGCUAGAUUAAACAGGGAGUUUAAAAUAAAAAACUAGUUUAGUUGUCGCAGCUUCCGUCUUGAACUUGGAGAUGAAACUUGAUCUUUUUCAACCCGGGAAUUCAAUCUUGUAUUUCCCUUAACAAGGAGAAAAAAGGUUGAACAUCAAUGCUCUGUUUGAAUUAGCAUUUUUUUUUAAAUAACUGUUUUGUUUUUAAAGUCUAUAGUAACAACUCCAAAAACAAUUCAAAAAACGCAUACCCUCAAGCCCCUAGACCGCCAGAUGUCCACUUACAUGGCUGCAGAUCACCCCAUCAGGGCUGACUCUAUCGACGCUGCUUCUUUCCUUGACGCCGUUGACGAAUUAGCCGCCAUUACUCAUGAAUGGGCUCCCAUGGGUCACGAUAAGUCCUCCUCCUCCCGCCUUGACCGGGCUGAUGAAUUGCUCCAGCAAGCUAUGUUUCGGUGUCAUGGAGCAGAAGUUAGCUAAGAGAAGCUGGAAACGUGAAAUAAAAUACACGCCUUUAGUAAGUAACUUCAAGCAAGCUGUAGACGUGGAAUACUGGCAUCACGCCUUUAUGAAGUAAAGUAGACGUGCAAAAUAAAGGAGAUUGCAAGUGAAGGCGUGGGAAUUAGAAUCACGCCUUUCCUGGGAACAAGCUCAAGCAAGGUGAGCUUCUAAGCAAGUGGCUCUACAACAGAUUCUGUUAACUCCUCACAUGGCUAAGCUGGAUUAGGAAGCGACAAAGGAGCUGGUUGUUAGCUAACUCUAUAUAAAGAAAGGAUCAGUAGUAGAAGGAUAGGAUUUUGUUAGUCAUUGUAAGGGAUCAUUCCCUGAGCAUCUUCUUCUGUUUUCCUUCAUUCUGCCAUUUUCUUCUCUUUUCCCGCCCAAUCUGUAAUCUUCUUAUUCAAUCAACAUCAAUACAAUUUCGUUUGGUUAUUCAUCAGUUCAUUAUUGAUUUUUUCCUGUUAUUAAUCUUCUGUUCUGCAUUAGUCUUAUCAAUCGAUUCCAUUGGAAGCAGCUCUGUUGCCUAGUUUCUGUUUGAUACCAUCACAUUCGGUUUGAGGAUGAGCUUAAAAUCCUAAUGGAAACAGGGGAGUGAGUCGUUUGAUGUGACCCGGCUCCGGGACGGUAAGUGAGGAAACCCCAACUACUCAUUUGACUCCGACGAAGAAGAAUUUGACGGUGGAGGGAGUGAAAUCCCAGUUGCCCAUCCGCUGUAAAAAUUUUGAAUUCUAAAGAUGCAAAUUAAAAUUUUGAAUUGUUAAAAUACCCUAAAAUAUAUUCUCAAAAAUAACUUCCAAAAACACUCUCAAAACACUUAAUCACUUAUAGUAAAAGAUUUUUAUAUACAUGCUACAGCAAAAUAUUUGAAAAAUACUCCCCAAAAACACCUCUAAUCAGGUAAUUCAUUGUCCCCUAUUUUGUUUUCAACUUUAUUUGGAUGUGUUAUUAAAGUUGGGUCACUAAAUUUCAUGAAUUAGUACGAAUAGACUUUUAAAGUGUAAAAGACAUGACAUUCUAUAUUGUCCACUUAUAACAUUUUGGAGGCAAUAGUGGAAAAAACAAUGUAAUAUCCCAAUAAAAAGUCUGCAGCAGAUUAACAAUUUCAAUAUAAAAACCUUUGUUUGCUUAGAGAAAUGGUUCAAGGUUUUACUUUCUUACAAAUGGUUGACUAAAGUUGAAAGGGCCAAGGGAUUGUUGUAUUUUGACAAGGAAAAUUAUCCAUUUAGUCCUUCAACUUUUUCCUUAAACCAAUUCCAUCCUCAAUCUUUUAUUUGGAUUUAUAAGUUCCUUAAACUUAGGGGCCAACUGCAUCCUUUUAAAGCAAUGCCGCCAUUUAGAUCUUUCCGACAAAAAAAAUCAACAACUAUAACUGGGUCUUCUUCAAUCAAGAGCAGCCCCCUCCUUUACCACAACCAUUCUUCUUUUUGCCACACACUUCAACCCCCUCCUUAAUCACUACCACACCCAUUUUUGCCAUGGCUUUAAAAAAAACUUGGCCCCAUAGGAUAAUUAGUGGCAACAUCAAAAUAUUACAUUUCCUCCUAUUAAAAAAAAAAGAAAGUUAUAAAAUAUGUCCUUUAUAAAUCAAAAUUUUUGGCCCCACAGAAACUUUAUAUAACAAAUUUUUAAUGCACACUUGAUGAGUACGCUACUGCUCAAAAUAUAUUUAUAAAAACUAUUUUGAUAAAAAUAAGUAAAAUAAAAAAGAAGCCAGAUUUUAUGAAGAGCACAAUACCAAAAAUUUUAAAUAAUUUAGGAUAAUAAAAAUGAUUAUUUUUAAUGACUGAAGAAGUAUAAAUAGCUUGGCAUUGUGAAAGGAAGGGAUAAGAAAGAACAUUUUAAGGAUAAGUAUGUACCAAGUGAUUGAAAUCAAUAAGGUUGUUGGCAUUAAAGUUUAGGAUUAAUUUUUAGCUAGUUUGGGAUGGUCGCAAGUCUUCUUUCAUAUGUUUACAAAGUGAAUGUUCUGCUGCUAUCCUUGCUGUGAAUAGUGUCUAAAAAUUUUCAGAUGAAGUCCAUACUAUUUUUUUUUUCCUAAUUGAAUUUUACAUUAUCCAAUAAUUCCCUCUAUUUAAAGGGACAAACAAUUCAAGUAUUAAAACUCAUCUUAAAAAGGAUUUCUCCAUGCUUUUUUGAACUUUGAUAUGAAGACUAUGUUUUUCUCCUUCAAUAUAUUUGUUCACGAACACAUAUUUUAAGACUAAUGAAUGAAGUACCUUUCAAAUAUCAAAAUAUUUUCUAAAUUUGAGGAUCCUAAAGUCCAAAAACAAUUUUGUAGGUGAUAGGUUUCAUUUUUUUUCAUCCUAUCAAUUUGUUCGAGUAACUUUCACAUUUAUAGAUGUUAUGAACAUAAUUUUUAAACUAAAUUCUAGCAUACUAAACAUCUUACAUAUUUGUAUUAAAUGCUAUUAUAUUUUCAUUUUUGUUGCACGUUGUCAUCAAUAGAGUGAGGUCUGCAAAUAUUGUAAUAAUUUUCCCAUUUAUAACCAAGUUGUCAGUUUUUAGAAAAGAAAAGGAUAGAUAAGGUUAUCCAAGAAUUACUUGCAUUGCUUACCCAAUGCAAGCAAUGAGGAGAAAUGACAACGGGUAUUUAGAUGUUCACCAUUUUUUGUAAGAAUUUAGAUGCUUGUAACAAAUCAUUGUUUGAUUGAUUUCUUUUGCAAAUGAAGCUUUUGGUCUUAUUAGUAUAUUUUGAUUUACCAGGCCAACUUAAUUUCCUCUCAACUAAUUCAGUGUAAAACAAACUAGUUAUCUUUUGGGUGGGCAAUGUGGCAUUAAAUAAAUUAAAUAUGACAAGCAUUUCACACAAAGAUAUAAUGCAAAUCACGCUGGAUCUCUCAUGCAACAAUUGAAGAUGAAUGUGCAUAUCAUAUUCUCAAGAUGAAUGCAACAAAUGCUAAUGGAAGAUAACACUCUUCUUUUCAAAUUAUAUAGUGCCAUUUAUCCUAGCAAUUGCACCUCUAGGUUAGGGAAAACAAAUAGGUCAAACAUCAAUUUAGACUGCAAUGUUCACCAUAUGAACAAGUUCAACAUCAUUGGAUGGUGCUAUCACAACCACGUUUUGCAAACUUAACAUAAAUGUAGCAUCAAAUCUACCAAAAUGUGUUGGACCAUGCCAUCCAACUAAUCCUAUGCUUGAAAUCACAAAAUGCAUCAGAAUGUUUUGUUGGUCUACAUCAUGGACUAAUAAGGUUGCCAUAGAAAAUUACGGGGAAGUGAAUUUUACUGUUUUGGCGAAACAAGCAUUUUUUUUUCUUUUUUUUUAAAAUAUUUUAAUUGCAGUUUUAUAAAUAAAAAAAAAAUCAAAGACUGAUUCAUCAGGUUCAAGCCAUACUACCACCAAAAUAAUACUGCAAAAUGGACCUGGCAGUGAGGAGGGCUCUAUGGGACCUCCCCAGCCAUUGAGCUAUACCUCAAUGUUUUGAGUUGAUCUUUCGUAGACUAAUAUCCAAAUUUUUUCUAACACAAGUAGCAUGUUUAUAAAUAUGCAUAAAACUUUUAUAGAGUUUUAACAAAUCUUUAUAUGCUUGAAUCGAUUCAAGCCCAUUUGCAUGAGAAGAAUAAUUAGAUAGCAAUGUUUUAGAUCUUUUCGAUCAAAGUGAUUUAUUAUUAUUAUUUUUACUUCAUGAAACUCACAAUUUUGUAUUCCUAUGCUAAUGUGCACAAUAAUUAGUGCCAAACAUGCUUGUUUAUGUUCAUAAUUUCAAUAGCAUAAACUUUAAACUAUAUGAGUAACCUUCUAGUUCGAGCUUCUCUGCUUCCUUGAUCCUUAAAAAGGUUACUAUCGAAUAUAUCUCAACAUUGAAAGUAGACCAAAAGUAGCUUUCAUCAUUGACUCAAGUAUUUACAACAUUAAAGUCCUGUCUCCGGACUAAAAAGUGUUAGUGCAACCUAUCAGAAUGAAACAUGGAAGAUUAUGUCGAUGACACACUAGUAAAAAGUAAAAAGAAAGAGAUCAUGUGAGGACCUCAAUAAAAUCUUCAUUGCAUCAAGAAAGAACAAAUUGAAGUUGAAUAAUUAAAAAAAGGUGAGCCUUCUAUCUAAAGGUGGCAAAUUCCUUAAUUUCAUAAUAACUGAAAGAGGGUAGAAGCUAACCCCUCUAAAAUCAAAGCAAUUCAAGAUAUGAAGCCACCUCAAUGGGUUAAAGAAGUUCAAAGGCUUAUUGAAAAACUAGCUACAACUAGUUGCUUCUUCUCUAAAGCGAGUGAUAGAAAUUUCUCCUUUUUCAAUGAUAUAGACAAAUGAACGCCAAGUUGCCUUCGAGAACUAGAAGAAGUACUUGAGUUUAUCAUCCCUCCUCGCCAAACCUAUACUUGGUGAGUUUACCUUGCUCAUCAACAGUUGUGAGGGCGGUUGGCCGCCAUCUCCUCACUCCCAAACCCCCAGCCCACCACGGACUGGAUAAGCACCUUGAAUACCACAAAAAAGAAAAAAAAAAAAAAAAAAA